CCCAGGAUGGUGUGUCCAACAUGGCUCAGCAUGUUUCCACUGGAUGCUACACGCAUAAAUGCUGGCAGCUUCUGCAACUCCUGAAGCUGGGGCUUCCACCUGAGCAGAAACAGCAGAGCUGUCUUUGAUGAGAGUGUCAGAACUAAUGGAUGGCUUCUUCUCCUUCUCAUCAUCGUCUUCAUCUUCCUCGUCACUGCCUUUCUCCUCCUGAAGACAACAUGUUUAUCAGCUGGAUUGCAACGCAGAAAUGUUGAAGUCUACUUGACAAAACCAUUCAACUGAAAUAUACAGUGUAUGACAGUGGUUCCCAACCCUUUUCCUAGAGGCUGAUUUUCUAUCAUUUAGUAAACUGGUAAGUCUUGACUAGGUGAUGUAUUUUGUGGAUAUUUCAUAUUCAAAACUGUACAAUGAACCCAGAUAGUGAACUCAGUAACUGCAGGAAGUUUGUGUAAAAUGAGUGAUCCUGUCCCAGGUGCUUUGCCCUUGUUCUAUUAAUUUCUUUAUAGAAGUGAACCAAAGGCUGAGAUAUAGGCCUACUGUGUAUAUUUUUUGUAUGUUUUCUUACACCCCUUUUAAAUAAUGAAGGCCUCUCAACCUCCAGGUUGGGAACCCCAGUAUGAGACUGUAGAAACAGUGACAGCAGUUGAACAUGUUUACCUGCAGACUCUCCUGGAAGCUGGAGGCCUGGUACUGGGCGUACUUGGCGAUGGUGGUGUGCGAGCGGCUGCUCUCACAGGGCCACGUCUGACCUGUCCCACUGGGGUCCCAGUUCUCAUCAGCAGGCUGCUGCACCUGUGUCCUAACCUCCACCGCCUGCUCUGCAUUAGCUUCCACCAGUGACUUUGUAGAAAACAGUCCCAGGUCUAAAAUAAAACGAGGGGAAACAUUAGGCACAUACUUUUGAGAUUAAACGGUAGAACAGCAAUGAUGAUGAUCCAAAUACAGAAAGUAUUGCAUGUAAAGAAAAUGAAUGUGUUACAGGGACUGUACACUUACUGAGUCGUAGAGAUCCAGCCAGGCCUCUGAUGACAGUAACAGGAUUCUUGGGAUCUGUACAGAACUGCAGCAGCACAGGGGAGAAGGCAUCCCUCUUGCUUUCCAACUAUACAGAAUAAAAAUCACAACGGUGCACAUUAA